rnacentral:lncRNA from 1 species
GUCAGUAUCCCGCACCUUCUCUUUCGUCAGUUUUCGAAGCGGCGCUCCCCUUCACCGACUCCUUCGCGCACUCACUGCCACGCCUUGCCCCGCUGCUGCUUGCCAAUCACGAACCAGUGCAUCGUGCGGACGAGGAUGCUGGGCAUAGAGUAGAAUGGCGGGACCGCACGCCUUGUCGCGGUCGCGUCUCGCUGUCCAUGGAGCGACUCUCUACGCCCUGCCUGCUUCGCUCGCUGGCUCACCGCAGCUGGAACGGCGCCACAUUCCUUUGUUAGAGCCGCCGUUUUGCAUACGCCGAGGGAGAGAACCGAGGGGAGAGAGAGUUUGGUCGUCGAGUCACAUGGAGGGUUCGCUGGUGGCCUAGGAUCUCCGUGUGUCGCAUCGCCUAGGCGGUGGAUUCCCCGUGCGUGGAGCCACCAGCAGCUGCGGAGUCCGCGCCGCCGCCAUGGGUCCAAAUCUCUGUUGCUGUUCGGAGCACGAGCUCGACCCGGUGAGCUUCACCACGACACCAAGUUUCUUCUCCGGUUCUCCGCGGACAAAACGGUGCAGGGGCGCGCGACGAACUGCUCGUCGGAUCUUCAAGGCCGCGUCUCACCAUGGGCAGGGAAUCCCACUGCUCCGAUCUCGGUGAGAAUUACUUCUUUAGAUUCGCUAAGUCCCCCGAUUCGAUUUGCGCUAGUCGGUCGGCAAGUGGGGAUCUCGGGUCGCGGGAACGCUAUGGCCGGUAAUGGCCUCCGCCGUGGGGUCUGGCAGUGAGGCCGUCGGGUUGGCUAGAGAAUGGGGGCAAGGUCGUUCGGCCGUCUGAUCUUAGCGGACGGAUGCGAUUGGAGGGGAGGAUAUCCAUUCGCGGCAUUGAAUCCUGACCGCAGAUCUUCGAUCAGAUGGACGGCUGGGAUUGAAGACCGUGUGACCCGUUCGCGGUGACGUUCGGGCCCGUUAGAUCUAUGGCGUGUGGGUGAGAUUCGAUCCAUUCGCGGGUGAUCUGGGCCCUUGAUCUAGAAUUGUGUGGCUCUGGUCUCACAUAUUAGGUUGUCGUGACAAGUUCAAAAUAGACCCCGUGUUUUCUAGGGAUUUAACCCAUAGUCCAUAUCAGUUAUGAAAUCAAAGCAAAUGGGUCCUGAAAUUUAUAGAUUCAACACCAUACUCCUAAACAACGUAACAUGUCAUCCCACACAGAAAAUAAAUCCAUAAAGUCAUUUUUAUUAAAAUACCUAGAAACUUGUUUAAUGCAUAUCUCAUCCAUUUUAACUCUAUUUUGAUUCGUUCAAGUUUUGUUAGAUUCGUACUAAAAUUGUCUACAUAUUUUAAAAAAUAGUAUUUUUAUCAUUUAACAUACUUUUAUAAUUGGAUAUUUAUUUAACUUAGGUUAGCUGAUUAAUCGUUCUAGUCAAAAUCAAUCCGGCUGUAAUUACAAUUUGAUUAAGUUAUGACUUCUACUCCAGUUAUAACUUAGAUUAUAAUUGUAUCGUGUAUUUAUUUAGAAUAUUCUUCUCAUAUGAUUUAUGUUAAUUAACAUAGAAUAUACUUUUAAACUGUUUGGUUAUCUAAAAGUUCGAAAAGUCAUAACUUUAUAACCGUAACUCCGAAUUUAGUGAUUCUUGAACUCAUGAUCUCGUAGCAACGCGUAGAUCAUUAUUAUGAAGUUUGUUCUUAUGUUUAGUGUGAUGUUAAUUUUGUCUAUACCAUGUUUGUUUGUAUUGCUACGACUAGCAGUGAGGUCACGAGGAUCUGAAGAAUCACCCUGAUAACUGGAAAUCUUAAGUGCCAGGCAAGUUGUGCCCUUGAUUCACUUUUGUUACCCAAUAAUGUUCUUUAUAAUCAUUUACCAUGCAUAGGUUUAAUUUUGAUGGGACCCGAUAGGUCACCCUAGAUUGUUUAUCUCAUUACCUUGUUUACCCCUGAAUCACAUGGGUAGUGUUUGCUAUUGCUUUAUAUGGUUUUGGGAUAAUCAUUUCUUAUAUCCAUGUUCUAGUUAUUUUGUUAUUCUAUUUAUGUUCAUGUCAAGAUCAUUAUAUUAUUGUUAAUUGGAACAUGGAGCUUAACUUGAGAAACACGUGCCACCACAAGGGAGGAAUGGGACCCCUUGGCUAACUAAUUAGGAAAGCUAGUGGAAGACUACCUUACCCGAAAGGGGCAAGGGCAGUAGGGGAGUUGCAUGCAAGGAGGUUCUCGGGUUGAUUUGCUGCGAUGGCGGUCAGACGGGGGAUUCUUGCAAGUGCUUUUCCCAUAACUGUAGCGGGUUUUCGGAAGCUAGUGGAACUUUGUAAAGGCCUCGUAGUGGAUCCCUAGUCAUUCACCUUGGUAGUGUCUAAGGGCCUAGCUAACCCUGGCGACAUGGGAAACACGACUUGUGGGUAAAGGGUACAACCUCUGCAGAGUGUAAAACUGAUAUACUAGCCGAGCUCGCGGUCAUGAGCAGCUCAGGACUCUCCGAUGAUUAAAUUAUGGAACAUAACUCAAUUUGUCAUUUGCAUACGCAUAGGAUUAUUUAUUAAUUUUGUUCUAUUACUUUAUUUAAGGUUUGGUAUUUACUUACACUUAGUAAUUGCUAAUAAAAUUUUGACCAACUUAUUAAAAGCAAUGCUCAGCUUUAACCCCUGUCAUUGAUUAGCCUUACACAUCAUAUGAACUCUCACCUUUGGUAAGUUCAUGCCACAUUAUUCCCCACAACUUGUUGAGCGAUGAACAUGUGUGAGCUCACCCUUACUGUCUCACACCCCCCACAGGAGAAGAACAGGUGGUUCAGGAGGAGCCACGUAUCGAGGAGUUCAAUUCAAUCUAGGUGGUGUUUCUCAGUUGACAUUGGUGCCGACGAUCCUUAGUUCGUGUUAUAUUUAUCUUUUAUUUUUGUAAGUCUUCCGCUAUGUAAUAAAUACUCUGAUUAUUGUGACAUUUAUCUCUAUACACUCAGUUAUUAUAUAUGUUGUCUUCUUGGCGCAUGUAUGAGAUGCACCUGGCUUUGUUCCUUAAAGCCGGGUGUGACACUAAAUAACAAAACAGUUAUUUGUGGUCGGAACUUUAUAAGUUUGGCUCGAACAUUAUCCAAAUUGAUAAAUAAUAGGACACCGCAGUGAGUAUGCGUACGUAUACAAGUGUUAUAAGUCAUGAGAUGGCAGCCAAGGCUGACCAAGGAGUGUUUACAGUCCCUCAAAAAGAAAACUAACUGUUACAAUAAUAAAGGAUCUAAAAAUUGAGAGCGCUGGAUAGUCCCGUGCGCUUCAAAUAGGCCUGGGCAAAAAGAACCGGAACCGAGGAACCGAACCGAAAUAACC